UGUCAAAAGGACAUGGAAUCCACACCACUGAGCACACAGUAGGUCUUGAACACAACCCAAAGCCAAGCCAGAUCCAACAAGGAUGUGCUAAGUGGUUCUCGCCUGACUCCAGAAUGCCCUGAGAAAGCCCUCUCCCUGCGCCUUGCUGUUAGUGAGGCCACAGCUUGAACUGUGAACUGUGGCAAUAUACCCUAACAAAGGAGCCAAACCCCAGAACCUGAGGAACAGGAGCAGCCCACAGCAAACUGUGACUGGGUCGUUUGAACAGCACCUUCCUGAGAGAGCGUCUGAGCUUUUCUGUGGCAGAAGUCCUCAGCACAGAGCCUGGCUCGUGUCUGCUUGUCUUGGCUUUGCUAAAAUGAGCACAGUGGAUCUCUGAGAGCCUCCAACAAGACACAGCGAAGACAUGUUCUCACACCCAUCCUACAAUCCACAACCCUACUGCCGUUAAGCCUGCAGACGUCUACAGCAAUGGCAAUCUCACCAAGCCUCAAUUUCCGUUAAAGACAGAUAGUCACUUGAAAAAAUCAGUGUCUAAACUUGAAUGCUGAAAUCUCUAAAACCAGUGUCUCCACCUAUCUGUCAUGACCCCAGGUUAUUUCAGACAGCACUGCCUUCAAAUAGGCUGAAAUUCAUUCUGGUUUUUGGUUUGUUUGUUUUUUUUAAGUGGGU